rnacentral:rRNA from 1 species
GACGAACGCUGGCGGCGUGCUUAACACAUGCAAGUCGAACGGAAAGGCCCUGCUUUUGUUGGUUGCUCGAGUGGCGAACGGGUGAGUAACACGUGAGUAACCUGCCCUUGACUUUGGGAUAACUUCAGGAAACUGGGGCUAUUACCGGAUAGGAGCUCCUGCUGCAUGGUGGGGGUUGGAAAGUUUCGGCGGUUGGGGAUGGACUCGCGGCUUAUCAGCUUGUUGGUGGGGUAGUGGCUUACCAAGGCUUUGACGGGUAGCCGGCCUGAGAGGGUGACCGGCCACAUUGGGACUGAGAUACGGCCCAGACUCGUACGGGAGGCAGCAGUGGGGAAUAUUGCACAAUGGGCGGAAGCCUGAUGCAGCAACGCCGCGUGCGGGAUGACGGCCUUCGGGUUGUAAACCGCUUUCGCCUGUGACGAAGCGUGAGUGACGGUAAUGGGUAAGGAAGCACCGGCUAACUACGUG